CAGUCAUACCAACGGGAAAUCAACCUUUUGAGCUCGGUCUCGUGGGUUUUGAAGAGUUUCAAAGCCUUCGGAUUCGCGGGAUUGGGAUCUCUUGGCGUACUUUCUCGUACGGUUAGUCAACAUCGGUUUUGAAUGUCAUAAAAUGACUGGAGGAAUGUAGCUUCGAACUCGUAUUGAAGUGUUAUAGCCUUUGGUAGAUGUGAUGUUUGAGACCGAGGAUUGCAACGGAUACCCUUCAGGGCUAUUCGUCUGAUCUCUGAUACGUUGCCCUGAUGUUGAAAGCUUGCUUAUGAUGUUAGGGUAUUACGGUCAAAAGGUUAGAACGAAUUACA
rnacentral:rRNA from 1 species